rnacentral:lncRNA from 1 species
GUGGUUAUGACAGGAACUAUGCAUCAGUACUGUUUCCUAUUAUGGAUACCGGCAAUAAGUGGAUAUCAUUAUCAUUCUUAAUGCCGUUAAUAACAUUCGAAAUAUAAAAUUUCUUCUAACAACACUGAUAUAACUUCGUAAUUUGCUCCAGAACUGUGUCUCUAACAAGCGAAAACACCAAAUAUUGAAUAUUUUGUAUUAAGGAAUUAAGGAAUACGCAAUAACCGCAAAGUCAACCAACGAUAUAUGAUAUUCGCACAAGGCAUAGU